rnacentral:rRNA from 1 species
AGUGGCGCCACGGGUGAGGAAUACAUCGGAAUCUACUUUUUCGUGGGGGAUAACGUAGGGAAACUUACGCUAAUACCGCAUACGACCUACGGGUGAAAGCAGGGGAUCUUCGGACCUUGCGCGAUUGAAUGAGCCGAUGUCGGAUUAGCUAGUUGGCGGGGUAAAGGCCCACCAAGGCGACGAUCCGUAGCUGGUCUGAGAGGAUGAUCAGCCACACUGGAACUGAGACACGGUCCAGACUCCUACGGGAGGCAGCAGUGGGGAAUAUUGGACAAUGGGCGCAAGCCUGAUCCAGCCAUACCGCGUGGGUGAAGAAGGCCUUCGGGUUGUAAAGCCCUUUUGUUGGGAAAGAAAUCCAGCUGGCUAAUACCCGGUUGGGAUGACGGUACCCAAAGAAUAAGCACCGGCUAACUUCGUGCCAGCAGCCGCGGUAAUACGAAGGGUGCAAGCGUUACUCGGAAUUACUGGGCGUAAAGCGUGCGUAGGUGGUUGUUUAAGUCUGUUGUGAAAGCCCUGGGCUCAACCUGGGAACUGCAGUGGAAACUGGACGACUAGAGUGUGGUA